rnacentral:rRNA from 1 species
GGCAGCAGCUAAGAAUAUUCCGCAAUGGACGAAAGUCUGACGGAGCGACGCCGCGUGGGCGAUGAAGGCCGGAAGGUUGUAAAGCCCUUUUCUUGAGGGGGAAUAAUCCGGGCAGGUAAUGCCUCGGUGGUGACUGUAAUAUAUGAAUAAGCACCGGCUAAUUACGUGCCAGCAGCCGCGGUAACACGUAAGGUGCGAGCGUUGUUCGGAAUUAUUGGGCGUAAAGGGCACGUAGGCGGCCAUGCAAGCUUGGAGUGAAAUACCUGGGCUUAACCCCGGAACUGCUUUGAGAACUGCAUUGCUGAAUUCAGCGAAGCAUGCUCGAAAUUCCAGGUGUAGGGGUGAAAUCUGUAAAUUUCUGGAAAAACACCAAUGGCAAAGGCAGGUUUCGGGCGCAUGACUGACGCUAAGGUACAAAGGUGCGGGAAGCAAACAGGAUUAAUUACCCUGGUAGUCCGCACAGUAAACUAUGUACACUAGGUGUCUGGCCACGAGGCUGGGUGCCAAACCAAACGCGAUAAUUGUACCGCCUGGAAGUAUGCCCGCAAGGUUGACUUCAAGGAAUUGACGG